rnacentral:lncRNA from 1 species
UUAACCCUAAUUCACUAAAUACACAAAGAAAUUAGUUCAAUUGGUCAAAAGAUUAGAUUUUUAUUGAUAAUGAAUGAUCUUAGGGUUAAGUUAGAAUUAUGGUUAGGGUUAGAAUUAGGUUUAGUGUUUGGGUUACCCGAAUAUUUAAAAUUCAGAUUGGGUCAGAAAUAACCCGAACCAUGCCAAUACCUAAUUACAUUAUUAUGCAUAUAUAUUUAAAUCAAUAAAUAUUAUAAUUUUUAUAAUAUGUUCUAUUUCUAUGUCUAUAUAUAUAAUUAA